rnacentral:rRNA from 1 species
AGUAAAUUGGUUAAGUUAGAAAGGGCGCACGGUGGAUGCCUUGGCACUAGGAGCCGAAGAAGGACGGGACUAACACCGAUAUGCUUUGGGGAGCUGUACGUAAGCGUUGAUCCAGAGAUUUCCGAAUGGGGGAACCCACUAUCUUUAGUCGGAUAGUAUCCUUACGUGAAUACAUAGCGUGAGGAAGGCAGACCCAGGGAACUGAAACAUCUAAGUACCUGGAGGAAGAGAAAGAAAAAUCGAUUUCCUGAGUAGCGGCGAGCGAAACGGAAAGAGCCCAAACCAAGAAGCUUGCUUCUUGGGGUUGUAGGACACUCUAUACGGAGUUACAAAAGAAAGUUAUAAAUGAAGCGGUCUGGAAAGGCCCGCCAAAGACGGUAACAGCCCGGUAGUUGAAAUGGCUUUCCCUCCAGAGUGGAUCCUGAGUACGGCGGAACACGUGAAAUUCCGUCGGAAUCCGGGAGGACCAUCUCCCAAGGCUAAAUACUCCCUAGUGACCGAUAGUGAACCAGUACCGUGAGGGAAAGGUGAAAAGCACCCCGGAAGGGGAGUGAAACAGUUCCUG